GAAAAAAUGGUGGAGAGAAAAAAGAUGACGAGCAGAAAAACCAGAGGGAAACAAGGAGAAAACCAGACGAACGAACACAAAGAGAAAGGCCAGGAAACCAAAAAACAUACAAGCAGAGAACACAGAACCAAGAAUGAUCACACGAAAACACAGAAAAAAAACAGCAUAGAGGGAACAGAGAGAACCAAAGAGAAGACGAAGAGACCGAGGUUAGAAAGACCAGAAAAAAAACAAAAGAAGUGAAGAAGAAACAGGGGAGAGAGUGCACCAAGCAACCUCACAUCUUCGUCUCCACCAGGUUCCAGUACCAGUUGCAAUGGCCUUCACUAUUGAUUGGUGUGCGAUUUGCCAACAAUAUCUGCGGUGGAAUGGAUCACUGGGCUAGCUGGAUGGAGUGGGGUGCAGUGCAUAUGAUUCUAAUUACGGAAAAAAGGAGAUUAUGCUUCGUAAAUACUAGCAAAUAUACCCUGCAGAGCACUUUUUAGUAAUGUAAAAUAUUAAGAUUAUUUUCUUAUAAUAUUCUAGUAUUUAGGCAGUGUCAUAAAUCUGAUUGUUAUUAUAAAUAUUUUCUCUUUUUUAGUUAACAA